GGUGAGCGCCCAGGCAUUAGUGUUCAUUACUACCCGCUUGUUUUGGCGCAACAGUUGGAUUUUUCUUUGGACCCGCGGGCGAAGGUAAAAAAAAAAAAAGGCCCGGGGCGGGGGAGAAAAAGUGUGUUUCUCGCGGCCCAGGUUCGGGUGCCCCCCGGCAAAAUUCCCCGCGCAAACAAAGAAAAUCCGUAGGUGGACUGCGGAGGGAUCAUUACCGAGUUUACAACUCCCAAACCCAAUGUGAACGUUACCAAUCUGUUGCCUCGGCGGGAUUCUCUGCCCCGGGCGCGUCGCAGCCCCGGAUCCCAUGGCGCCCGCCGGAGGACCAACUCAAACUCUUUUUUCUCUCCGUCGCGGCCUACGUCGCGGCUCUGUUUUAUUUUUGCUCUGAGCCUUUCUCGGCGACCCUAGCGGGCGUCUCGAAAAUGAAUCAAAACUUUCAACAACGGAUCUCUUGGUUCUGGCAUCGAUGAAGAACGCAGCGAAAUGCGAUAAGUAAUGUGAAUUGCAGAAUUCAGUGAAUCAUCGAAUCUUUGAACGCACAUUGCGCCCGCCAGUAUUCUGGCGGGCAUGCCUGUCCGAGCGUCAUUUCAACCCUCGAACCCCUCCGGGGGGUCGGCGUUGGGGAUCGGCCCCUCACCGGGCCGCCCCCGAAAUACAGUGGCGGUCUCGCCGCAGCCUCUCCUGCGCAGUAGUUUGCACACUCGCACCGGGAGCGCGGCGCGGCCACAGCCGUAAAACACCCCAAACUCUGAAAUGUUGACCUCGGAUCAGGUAGGAAUACCCGCUGAACUUAAGCAUAUCAUAAAGCGGAGGAA
rnacentral:rRNA from 1 species